CCGACUACGUCUGUGUCACAUCUCAAUGGCAAUACGGCUCCUCCUGCCAUCCCCUCGGAGACGGGGUCUACCUGGUUCCAUGGAAACGACGGCCUCAGUGGGCGAUGUCAAAUACAGACCAGCACCAGAACCAGCAGAGCGAGGAGAGGGACCUGUGGACUUUGUUCUUCCCCCGCCAGGAGCAGCGUCUGCUGGCUGGCUCCGUGGCGGCUCACCAAGCCCUCCUGCCACCUCAAGGUGCUCCAGCUGACCAAGGCCUGCGUGACCUGGGUGGCCAGGCACUGGACAGCCGCCGGGGGCGCUCUGGAGGUCAGUCUCUUCCUCCUACACACUGAAGACGGCCUGGCUGCGUCUGCUACUCAGCUCUCCUGCAGAGGCCUGGGAGGAUCGCCAUCUGGUGGCCAGGAUGGAGGAGCUGGUCCGCAGCCUGAGGGAGAGCCUCCAGAACCGGGCUCUGGAUCACCUCUUCCUGGGGAGCGACAGCGGCUCCAUCCUACCUGACUCUGUGACUCUACCUAAGUUGGUCAAGGAGGUGGUGGGAGCUCCAGUGGGGGGUCCAGUMGAGGGUUCGGGGGGACGUUUGGGGGGUUCGGCAGGGAACCUCUGGGCAGGUGUGGACCCAGCCUCAUUGGACCUAGUGUCUGGCCGGUUGGCGUAUGCCUGGAGCCAUCUCCACCGGCUGAUCAGGUUGGGCCGACCCCAGAGGAGUAGCUUGGGGCUGGGCAGGGCAGGAAACAUAAACUGCCAGCAUCUGCAACCUGGAGAGUAACCAACUUAUCUUUUCUGGAAACGAAUGAAAGGAUUACAGGUGAAAWCAGAGGUUAAUAUCCUCCAACAACAGACCCAGUCAAACAGAGAGAUACAUAGACAGACAGGAUGGAGGAAACAUCAGACUACUUGCUCAUCCAAAGGUUGUACAGGAGCUACUGGUCUAGAAUAAAAAAAGAAAGCCUAUAACAGUGAUGGGACGUUCUCUGAGUCGUCCCUCUUAACCAUGAAUGGAAAUCAGAGGGAAUGUGUGAAUUUGUAAUUUAUGAAUUUGUAAUUUAUGAAUUUGUAAUUUAUGAAUUUGUAAUGAAUACAUGUGUAAUUUUUCCCCGGUACAUAAUGAAUGAGGUUUCAUUCAAAA